GCGUACGUAGCUCAGUUGGAAGAGCAUUGGGCUAGUAUUCCAAAGGUCGUAGGUUCGAAUCCCACCGUGGCCG